GAUGAAUGCUAGCUACAGGCUUAACACAUGCAAGUCGAGGGGCAGCAUGGUCUUAGCUUGCUAAGGCCGAUGGCGACCGGCGCACGGGUGAGUAACACGUAUCCAACCUGCCGUCUACUCUUGGACAGCCUUCUGAAAGGAGGAUUAAUACAAGAUGGCAUCAUGAGUCCGCAUGUUCACAUGAUUAAAGGUAUUCCGGUAGACGAUGGGGAUGCGUUCCAUUAGAUAGUAGGCGGGGUAACGGCCCACCUAGUCUUCGAUGGAUAGGGGUUCUGAGAGGAAGGUCCCCCACAUUGGAACUGAGACACGGUCCAAACUCCUACGGGAGGCAGCAGUGAGGAAUAUUGGUCAAUGGGCGAGAGCCUGAACCAGCCAAGUAGCGUGAAGGAUGACUGCCCUAUGGGUUGUAAACUUCUUUUAUAAAGGAAUAAAGUCGGGUAUGCAUACCCGUUUGCAUGUACUUUAUGAAUAAGGAUCGGCUAACUCCGUGCCAGCAGCCGCGGUAAUACGGAGGAUCCGAGCGUUAUCCGGAUUUAUUGGGUUUAAAGGGAGCGUAGAUGGAUGUUUAAGUCAGUUGUGAAAGUUUGCGGCUCAACCGUAAAAUUGCAGUUGAUACUGGAUAUCUUGAGUGCAGUUGAGGCAGGCGGAAUUCGUGGUGUAGCGGUGAAAUGCUUAGAUAUCACGAAGAACUCCGAUUGCGAAGGCAGCCUGCUAAGCUGCAACUGACAUUGAGGCUCGAAAGUGUGGGUAUCAAACAGGAUUAGAUACCCUGGUAGUCCACACGGUAAACGAUGAAUACUCGCUGUUUGCGAUAUACGGCAAGCGGCCAAGCGAAAGCGUUAAGUAUUCCACCUGGGGAGUACGCCGGCAACGGUGAAACUCAAAGGAAUUGACGGGGGCCCGCACAAGCGGAGGAACAUGUGGUUUAAUUCGAUGAUACGCGAGGAACCUUACCCGGGCUUAAAUUGCAGAUGAAUUACGGUGAAAGCCGUAAGCCGCAAGGCAUCUGUGAAGGUGCUGCAUGGUUGUCGUCAGCUCGUGCCGUGAGGUGUCGGCUUAAGUGCCAUAACGAGCGCAACCCUUGUUGUCAGUUACUAACAGGUUCCGCUGAGGACUCUGACAAGACUGCCAUCGUAAGAUGUGAGGAAGGUGGGGAUGACGUCAAAUCAGCACGGCCCUUACGUCCGGGGCUACACACGUGUUACAAUGGGGGGUACAGAGGGCCGCUACCACGCGAGUGGAUGCCAAUCCCCAAAACCUCUCUCAGUUCGGACUGGAGUCUGCAACCCGACUCCACGAAGCUGGAUUCGCUAGUAAUCGCGCAUCAGCCACGGCGCGGUGAAUACGUUCCCGGGCCU
rnacentral:rRNA from 1 species